UUCAGUUGUGUUUUCUUGAUGCAUGUAUUGUUUGUCUUGCGUGAUUUACAGUUAAAUUGUAAAACUGAAAAUUAAAUGUAAAUAGGAAAUUGUUUGGUUAAAUGAAUUAAUGAAACAAUUGUCUUACUAGAUAUCCUGAGAGAUGGUGGACAGACCGGGUACAUAGAUAACCUUACCGUGAACGUUACCUUUUACCGGACGGGAUAUCGAAGAAUAAUAUUCUUGGU
rnacentral:lncRNA from 1 species